UACAGAGGUCUCAAGCGUUGUUCGGAUUCAUUGGGCGUAAAGGGUGCGUAGGUGGCGUGGUAAGUCGGGUGUGAAAUUUCGGAGCUUAACUCCGAAACUGCAUUCGAUACUGCUGUGCUUGAGGACUGGAGAGGAGACUGGAAUUUACGGUGUAGCAGUGAAAUGCGUAGAGAUCGCAAGGAAGACCAGUGGCGAAGGCGGGUCUCUGGACAGUUCCUGACACUGAGGCACGAAGGCCAGGGGAGCAAACGGG
rnacentral:rRNA from 1 species